GCUUUCGGCCAUACCACCCUGAACGCGCCCGAUCUCGUCCGAUCUCGGAAGCUAAGCAGGGUCAGGCCUGGUUAGUACUUGGAUGGGAGACCGCCUGGGAAUACCAGGUGCUGUAAGCC
rnacentral:rRNA from 15 species